rnacentral:lncRNA from 1 species
GAGGCCAAAGAUAAUUUCUAUGUUACUUGGAAACUAGAACAACAGCAGAGAUAAUAAUAUAAUCCUAGAAUAUUGGGAAGGUCCCUGGCAAUCUUGGUGAGGAAAGCACAUGCAGUAUUGGAGACAUGAGCUAGUGUGCAAGGGACUGGGGUGUUCACAGGUGGACAUCCACAAGCUGCAUGCAUUGGUGGCUCCAGAAUUUCUGUGUCAGUGGCUAAAGGGCCGUCAUUGAGUUGGCAUGAGGCUUGAAAUGCAUAUGCAUAGUACUUUCCAUUAGUUACAGAAAAUGCCAAUAUUCUUUACUUGAAAAUGGGACAAGGAAAGCAACAGAGUUUGAGGGCCUAAAUCCCACUUAUGCCAGCCCUGAGUACUUCCUAUAUGCUUGUGGUCAAGCCCAGCCUCAUCUCUCCCAGCUUCUCUUCACACACUGGAAGCCUCACCCAAUCCAAACCCUGCCACCCUACCCUUUCUCACUUCUGUGAGCAGCUAGGUGGCCGAGUGGUGAGCGUGUCCUAAAUAUUCAUCCAGAGCCGAGUUUGAAUUCUGGCUCUGCAAUUUAUUGUCACUAGUAUAACCUCGGGCAUGUCUAUAAUAAUACCUACCUAUGAGGAUUGUCAUGAGGUUUCAAUGAAAUCAUGUAUAUGAUGUGUUUAACAUAGUGCCUGGCCCAUAAUACGCACUUAAAGUAAAAAAAAAAAAACUUUUGAUGUGUGAAAUUCCAGUAUUUUCAGCUUCAAACAACAUCUCCUAGAUAGCUGCUCACACCCAUAAGUGGGAGACAGAUUCUCUGCAGACCAUGUAUUCUGAUUUAGGGUGUUGAAAAGAGAGUCAAUACAUAGCAAUUGGAGUCCACAGGAAAGAGGACUCAUCGGGGCCUGGGAUGGUCAGCAAAGCCGUCUGGAGGAAACUGCACUUGGAUGCAGUUUGAAGGUGGAGUUGAUUCAUCCAGGAAGAAGUGAGUGGGCGAGGCAUGGACAAAUGCUUAAAAGCAGGAAGCACACGGUAUUUCAUGGUGGUGAUUUUUAUUUUGCUAAUAUAGGCUCUACCCAGGGUAUCAAUGAGAGCUAUGUUAAAAAGGUAGCUUAGGGAAAGAUUAUAAGGGUCUUGAAAUUUCUCCCUCCCUUCUUUUGUUUCUUUUCUUUUCUUUUUUUAAUUACACUUUUAAGUUCUAGGGUAUAUGUGCACAACGUGCAGGUUUGUUACAUAUGUAUACAUGUGCCAUGUUGGUUUGCUGCACCCAUUAACUCAUCAUUUACGUUAGGUAUUUCUCCUAAUGCUAUCCCUCCCCCAUCCCCCCACCCCAUGACAGGCCCCGGCGGGUGAUGUUCCCCACCCUGUGUACAAGUGUUCUCAUUGUUCAGUUCCCACCUAUGAGUGAGAACAUGCAGUGUUUGGUUUUCUGUCCUUGUGAUAGUUUGCUGAGAAUGAUUUCCACCUUCAUCCAUAUACCUACAAAGGACAUUAACUCAUCCUUAUUUAUGACUGCAUAGUAUUCCAUGGUGUAUAUGUGCCACACUUUCUUAAUCCAGUCUAUCAUUGUUGGACAUUUGGGUUGGUUCCAAGUCUUUGCUAUUGUGAAUAGUGCUGCAAUAAACAUGCGUGUGCAUGUGUCUUUAUAGUAGCAUGAUUUAUAAUCCUUUGGGUGUAUACCCAGUAAUGGGAUCACUGGGUCAAAUGGUAUUUCUAGUUCUAGAUCCUUAAGGAAUUGCUACACUGUCUUCCACAAUGGUUGAACUAGUUUACACUUCAACAAACAGUGUAAAAGUGUUCCUAUUUCUCCACAUCCUCUGCAGCAUCUGUUGUUUCCUGACUUUUUAAUGAUGGCCAUUCUAACUGGUGUGAGAUGGUAUCUCAUUGUGGUUUUGAUUUGCAUUUCUCUGAUGACCAGUGAUGAUGAGCAUUUUUUCAUGUGUCUUUUGGCUGCAUAAAUGUCUUUUUUUGAAAAGUGUCUGUUCAUAUCCUUUGCCCACUUUUUGAUGGGGUUGUUUGAUUUUUUUCUUUUAAAUUUGUUUAAGUUCUUUGUAGAUUCUAGAUAUUAGCCCUUUGUCAGAUGGGUAGAUUGCAAAAAUUUUCUCCCAUUCUGUAGGUUGCCUGUUCACUCUGAUGGUAGUUUCUUUUGCUGUACAGAAACUCUUUAGUUUAAUUAGAUCCCAUUUAUCUAUUUUAGCUUUUGUUGCCAUUGCUUUUAGUGUUUAGUCAUGGAGUCCUUGCCCAUGCCUAUGUCCUGAAUGGUAAUGCCUAGGUUUUCUUCUAGGGUUUUUAUGGUUUUAGGUCUAACAUUUAAGUCUUUAAUCCAUCUUGAAUUAAGUUUCGUAUAAGGUGUAAGAAAGGGAUCCAGUUUCAGCUUUCUACAUAUGCCUAGCCAGUUUUCCCAGCACCAUUGAUUAAAUAGGGAAUCCUUUCCCCAUGUCUUGUUUUUGUCAGGUUUGUCAAAGAUUAGUUGGUUAUAGAUGGGUGGUGUUAUUUCUGAGACCUCUGUUCUGUUCCGUUGGUGUAUAUCUCUGUUUUGGUACCUGUACCAUGCUGUUUUGGUUACUGUAGACUUGUAUAGUUUGAAGUCAGGUAGCAUGAAGCCUCCAGCUUUGUUCUUUUUGCUUAGGAUUGUCUUGGCAAUGCAGGCUCUUUUUUGGUUCCAUAUGAACUUUAAAGUAGUUUUUUCCAAUUUUGUGAAGAAAGUCAUUGGUAGCUUGAUGGGGAUGGCAUUGAAUCUAUAAAUUACCUUGGGCAUUAUGGCCAUUUUCAUGAUAUUGAUUCUUCCUAUUCAUGAGCAUGGAAUGUUCUUCCAUUUGUUUGUGUCCUCUUAUUUCGUUGAGCAGUGGUUUGUAGCUCUCCUUGAAGAGAUCCUUAAUAUCCCUUGUAAGUUGGAUUCCUAAGUAUUGUAUUCUCUUUGUAGCAAGUGUGAAUGGGAGUUCACUCAUGAUUUGGCUGUUUGUCUGUUAUUGGUGUGUAGGAAUGCUUGUGAUUUUUGCACAUUGAUUUUGUAUCCUGAGACUUUGCUGAAGUUGCUUAUCAGCUUAAGGAGAUUUUGGGCUGAGACAAUGGGGUUUUCUAAAUAUACAAUCAUGUCAUCUGCAAACAGGGACAAUUUGACUUCCUCUUUUCCUAAUUGAAUACCUUUUAUUUCUUUCUCUUGCCUGAUUGCCCUGGCCAGAACUUCCAACACUAUGUUGAAGUUCCCUGUCUUGUGCCAGUUUUCAAAAGGAAUGCUUCCAGUUUUUGCCCAUUCAGUAUGAUAUUGGCUGUGGGUUUGUCAUAAAUACCUAUUAUUUUGAGAUACGUUCCAUCAAUACCUAGUUUAUUGAGAGUUUUUAACAUGAAGCGCUGUUGAAUUUUGUCAAAGGCCUUUUCUGCAUCUAUUGAGAUAAUCAUGUGGUUUUUGUCUUUGGUCCUAUUUAUGUGAUGGAUUAUGUUUAUUGAUUUACGUAUGUUGAACCAGCCUUGCAUCCCAGGGAUGAAGCCAACUUCAUCUUGGUGGAUAAGAUUUUUGAUGUGCUGCUGGAUUCGGUUUGCCAGUAUUUUAUUGAGGAUUUUCGCAUCGAUGUUCAUCAAGGAUAUUGGUCUAAAAUUCUCUUCUUUUUGUUGUGUCUCUGCCAGGCUUUGGUAUCAGGAUGAUGCUGGCCUCAUAAAAUGAGUUAGGGAGGAUUCCCUCUUUUUCUAUUGAUUGGAAAAAUUUCAGAAGGAAUGGUACCAGCUUCUCUUUCUACCUCUGUUAGAACUCAGCUGUGAAUCUGUCUGGUCCUGGAGUUUUUUUGGUUGGUAGCCUAUUAGUUAUUGCCUCAAUUUCAGAGUCUGUUAUUUGUCUAUUCAGGGAUUCAACUUCUUCCUGGUUUAGUCUAGGGAGGAUGUAUGUGUCCAGGAAUUUAUGCAAUUCUUCUAGAUUUUCUAGUUUAUUUGCAUAGAGGUGGUUAUAGUAUUCUCUGAUGGUAGUUUGUAUUUCUGUGGGAUCAGUGGUGAUAUUCCCUUCAUCAUUUGUUUAUUGCAUCUAUUUGAUUCUUCUCUUUUCUUCUUUAUUACUCUUGCUAGCAGUCUAUCAAUUUUGUUGAUCUUUUCAAAAAACCAACUCCUGGAUUCAUUGAUUUUUUUUUUUUUUUUGAAGGGUUUUUUGUGUCUCUAUUUCCUUCAGUUCUGCUCUGAUCUUAGUUAUUUCUUGCCUUCUGCUUGCUUUUGAAUUUGUUUUCUCUUGCUUCUCUAGUUCUUUUAAUUGUGAUGUUAAGGUGUCAAUUUUUGAUCUUUCCUGCUUUCUCUUGUGGGCAUUUAGUGCUAUAAAUUUCCCUCUACACACUGCUUUAAAUGUGUCCCAGAGAUUCUGGUACGUUGUGUGUUUAUUCUCAUUAGUUUCAAAGAACAUCUUUACUUCUGCCUUCAUCUCGUUAUUUACCCAGUAGUCAUUCAGGAGCAGGUUGUUCCAUUUCCAUGUAGUUGUGCAGUUUUGAGUGAGUUUCUUAAUCCUGAGUUCUAAUUUGAUUGCACUAUAAUCUGAGAGACAGUUUGUUAUAAUUUCUAUUAUUUUACAUUUGCUGAGGAGUGCUUUACUUCCAAAUAUGUGGUCAAUUUUGGAAUAAGUGCGAUGUAGUGCUGAGAAGAAUGUAUAUUCUGUUGAUUUGUGGUGGAGAGUUCUGUAGAUGUCUAUUAGGUCUGCUUGGUGCAGAGCUGAGUUCAAGUCCUGGAUAUCCUUGUUAACGUUCUGUCUCAUUGAUCUGUCUAAUAUUGACAGUGGGGUGUUAAGUCUCCCAUUAUUAUUGUGUGGGAGUCUAAGUCUCUUUGUAGGUCUCUGAGGACUUGCUUUAUGAAUCUGGGUGCUCCUGUAUUGGGUGCAUAUAUAUUUAGGGUAGUUAGCUCUUCUUGUUGAAUUGAUCCCUUUACCAUUAUGUAAUGGCCUUGUCUCUUUUGAUCUUUGUUUGUUUGAAGUUUGUUUUAUCAGAGACUAGGAUUACAACCCCUGCUUUUUCUUUUUCUUCUUCUUUUUUUUUUUUUUUUUUUGGCUUUCCGUUCGCUUGGUAGAUCUUCCUUCAUCCCUUUGAGUCUAUGUGUGUCUCUGUACGUGAGAUGGGUCUCCUGAAUACAGCACACUGAUGGGUUUUGACUCUAUCCAAGUUGCCAGUCUGUGUCUUUUAACUGGGGCAUUUAGCCCAUUUACAUUUAAGGUUAAUAUUGUUAUGUGUGAAUUUGAUCCUGUCAUUAUGAUGUUAGCUGGUUAUUUUGCCCGUUAGUUGAUGCAGUUUCUUCCUAGCAUCAAUGGUCUUUACAAUUUGCAUGUUUUUGCAGUGGCUGGUACCAGUUGUUCCUUUCCAUGUUUAGUGCUUCCUUCAGGAGCUCUUGUAAGGCAGUCCUGGUGGUGACAAAAUCUCUCAGCAUUUGCUUGUCUGUAAAGGAUUUUAUUUCUCCUUCACUUAUGAAGCUUAGUUUGGCUGGAUAUGAAAUUCUGGUUUGAAAAAUCUUUUCUUUAAGAAUGUUGAAUAUUGGCCCCCACUCUCUUUUGGCUUAUAGAGUUUCUGCUGAGAGAUCUGCUGUUAGUCUGACUGGGCUUCCCUUUGUGGGUAACCCAACCUUUCUCUCUGGCUGCCCUUAACAUUUUUUCCUUCAUUUUAACCUUGGUGAAUCUGACAAUUAUGUGUCCUGGAGUUUCUCUUCUCGAGGAGUAUCUUUGUGGUGUUCUCUGCAUUUCCUAAACUUGAAUGUUGGCCUGCCUUGUUAGGUUGGGGAAGUUCUCCUGGAUAAUAUCCUGAAGAGUGUUUUCCAACUUGUUUCCAUUCUCCCCGUCACUUUCAGGUACACCAAUCAAACGUAGAUUUGGUCUUUUCACAUAGUCCCAUAUGCCUGGGAGGCUUUGUUCGUUUCUUUUUACUGUUUUUUUCUCUUAACUUCUCCUCUUGCUUCAUUUCAUUAAUUUGAUCUUCAAUCACUGAUACCCUUUCUUCCACUUGAUCAAAUCGGCUACUGAAGCUUGUGCAUGCAUCAUGUAGUUCUGGUGCCAUGGUCUUCUGCUCCAUCAGGUCAUUUAAGGUCUUCACUACUCUGUUAAUUCUAGUUAGCCAUUCAUCUGAUCUUUUUUCAAGGUUUUUAGCUUCCUUGCGAUGGGUUUGACAUCCUCCUUUAGCUCGGAGAAGUUUGUUAUUACCGACCUUCUGAAGCCUACUUCUGUCAACUCGUCAAAGUCAUUCUCCAUCCUGCUUUGUUCCAUUGCUGGUGGGGAGCUGCGAUCCUUUGGAGGAGAACAGGCACUCUGGUUUUUAGAAUUUUCAGCUUUUCUGCUCUGGUUUCUCUCCCUCUUUGUGGUUUUAUCUACCUUUGGUGUUUGAUGUUGGUGAUCUACAGAUGGGGUUUUGGUGUGGAUGUUCUUUUUGUUGAUGUUGAUGCUAUUCCUUUCUGUUUGUUAGUUUUCCUUCUAACAGGUCCCUCAGCUGCAGGUCCGAUGGAGUUUGCUGGAGGUCCACUUCAGACCCUGUUUGCCUGGGUAUCACCAGCGGAGGCUGCAGAAUAGCAAAUAUUGCUGCCUGAUACUUCCUCUGGAAGCUUCAUCUCAGAGGGGCACCUUGCUAUAUGAGGUGUCAGUCGUCCCCUACUGGGAGGUGUCUCCCAGUUAGGCUACACAGGGGUCAGGGACCCACUUGAGGAGGCAGUCUGUCUGUUCUCAGAGAUCAAACACUGUGCUGGGAGAACCUCUGCUCUCUUCAGAGCUGUCAGACAGGGACGUUUAAGUCUGCAGAGGUUUCUGCUGCCUUUGGUCAGCUAUGCUCUGCCCCCAGAGAUAGAGUCUACAGAGGCAGGCAGGCCUUGAUGAGCUGUGGUGGGCUCCACCCAGUUUGAGUUUCCAGGCUGCUUCGUUUACCUACUCUAGCCUCAGCAAUGGCUGACGCCUCUCCCCCAGCCAGGCUGCUGCCUUGCAGUUUGAUCUCAGGCUGCUGCGCUAGCAGUGAGGAAGGCUCAGUGGGCAUGGGACCCACUGAGUCAGGCGCAGGAUAUAAUCUCCUUGUGUUCUGUUUGCUAAGACCAUGGAAAAGUGCAGUAUUUGGGUGGCAGUGAGCUGAUUUUUCCUGGUACACUCUGUCACAGCUUCCCUUGGCUAGGAAAGGGAAAUCCGCCAACCCCUUGCACUUCCCGGGUAAGGCGAUGCCCUGCCCUGCUUCGGCUCACCUUCCGUGAGCUGCACCCACUGUCCAACCAGUCUCAGUGAGAUGAACCAGAUACUUCAGUUGGAAAUGCAGAAAUCACCCAUCUUCUGUGUCGAUCGUUGUGGGAGCUGCACACCCUCUUUCCUUUCUUUUAUAACAACAGCAGCAAUGGCAAUGACAACACUCCCCUCCCCCCACCAGAAAAAUGGCCCAGUUAUUAAACUGUGCUCUCAGAUUAAAAAUUAAAACCCAAAUCUGAGUACCCACAUGUAGGUGAGGGGGCCUUUGGCCACACAGAAGAGUUUUAACAACUGUGUUCCUUUUAUGAUAAGGUGUCCAAGGACUGCAUUCACCUAGGAUGAAUCACAGCAAUUUGCAGCUCUGUAUUGUUGGAGACACUUCAAUUCUGCUAUUAGCCAGCCAGAGCUCAAAUGGUUCUGCCUUCAUCUGGUCCAGGAUUAAGAAAAAAGUGUCUCUGGGACUGGAAGGGGGUGUAGGUGGCUUUGUGAACUGUAGGUGAGAACAGAGUGUGAUUGAAUGCCAGUGAAGCCUAAAGUCUUAAGUCCAGUUAGGGGUCCUCUAAGGAGUUUUGUCUUCAUUGAGCUACCUUCUUCAAACUUUUCAGGGUAUAUUCUGCAUGUAGAUUUUCUUCAAUGAGUAAAACCUUAUUCAUUUACUACUAGUUAUAAACCAUAGAUGAUUUCUUCCUAUUGUUUCAUCAAUGUUGCUUAUAAAUUGUCACAUCAACUGUUACAUUAGUUUAAUAGUGUAAAAAAAUUCUGUGAGCCUAGUCUGAUUAAGGUAUUGCUGAAUUUUUUAAAAUAUUGAAAUAUAGUACACAUAAUGUAUACAUCAUUAACACAUAGCUCCAUAUAAUACAUCACCAUCAUGCAUAGGACAUUAUCAUCAUCCCAAAAGCCAAGCUCAGGUUCCUUCCCCAAAACUACUCCCAAUUUAUUUACUAUACAGUCUUCUAAAACUAUGGUUUAGUUUCGCUUGCCUUUUUUUUUUUUUUUUUUUUUUUGAGAUGGAGUCUCCCUCUGUUGCCCAGGCUGGAAUGCAGUGGUGUGAUAUCAGCUCACUGCAAACUCUGCCUCCCGGGUUCAAGCAGUUCUCCUGCCUCAGCCUCCCAAGUAGCUGUGACUACAGGCGUGUGCCACCAUGCCUGGCUAAUUUUUGUAUUUUUAGUAGAGAAGAGAUUUUACCAUGUUGGCCAGGCUGGUCUUGAACUCCUGAUGUCAAGUGAUCUGCCCACCUGUUUCCCAAAGUGUUGGGAUUACAGGCGUGAGCCACUGUGCCUGGCCAGUUUUGCUUGUUUUUGACCUUACGUAAGUGGGAUCAUUUAUAUAUCAUCACACAGUAUAUAUUCUUUCUUGCUGAAUUUCUGUGCUCAAAAUAAUGUUUGUAAAUUUGUUCACAUUGUAUAGUUUUAUUCAUCGUAAUUGCUGGUGGUAUUUCAUUAAAUGAGGACACCACAAUUUAUACUAUGAAUGGACAUUUGAGCUGCUUCCAUUCAGGGGCCAUUACAAAUAAGGCUGUUAUCAAUACUCUUAUAAAUAUCUUUUUGUCCACAUGUGCUUGCACUUCUGUUGGUAUAGGCCUAGGAAUGGAAUUGCUGGGUCACAGGGUAGGUGUUUAUUUCAAUUUGUAUUUUCUUGAUUACUAAUGAGGUUGAGCACCUUUCAUAGAUAUAUUAGCUAUUUGGUAUCCUCUUUUUUAUACAGGAAGCAUCUUGAAUUGUCUGUAUUUUUAUGUUUGUAUAAGUUUUUCAUGUGUUUUGGACAUAAGUUGCUCACAUUUACAUGUGUUGCAAAUAUCUUCUACUCUUUGGCUUACUUUCCCUCUCUUUUAAUAAUGUCAUUUGAUGAACAAAAGCUCUUAAUUUAAUGUAAUGUAUCCAAUUUAUUCAUAUUUUCCUGUAUUGUUAGUGAUCUUUGUGUCAUUUAAUAAAUUUUUUUCUCUAGCCUCACAUCAUGAAGAUAUUUUCUUAUUUUAUCUAAUAGAAGCUCUAUUAUUUUACCCUUUACAUUUAGAGCUACCAUGCACUGAGAAUUGAUUUUUAUGUGUGGUAUGACAUAAUGAUCAAGUUUCUCUUUUUCUCCCCAGACAGUUACUCAAUAGACUGAGCACUAUUUACUGAAUGACCCUUUCUCUGCUGCUCUACAGUGCUAGCUUGCAAGAUCGAAUGUCCAAGUAUGGGUGGAUCUGUUUGAAAACUCUUUCCUGUAGUCUAUUUGUCUAUCCUUACAUCAAUAUCACACUGUCUUAAUUACUGUAGUUUAAUUACCUAUAAGUCUUGAUAUCUGAUGGAGUAAGUCCUUAGGCUUUAUGCUAUUUACAGUCCUUUGUAUUUCUGUAUAUAUUUUAGAAGCUGCUCAGAAUUUUUUAUUAAAAAACACUGCUGUGAUUUUAAUGGGGAUUGCAUAUAAUGGAGUUUGUUUCAUAAAGCUUUCUUCAUUCUACCAAGAUGGGAUAUUUCUCUGUGUAUGUAGGUCUUCAGUAAUUUAUCUCAAUAUAUGUUAUUUUCUGUGCAGAGAUCUUGUACAUAUUUGUUAGAUUUAUUCAAAAGUAUUUGGUAGUUUUGUUGCCACUAUGAAAUGAUAUCUGCUUUAAAUUUUUAUUUUCUAAUUUUUAAUGCUGGUAUUAAUUUCAUAUCUUGACCUUGCAUCUGGCAACCUUGCAAAGCUCACUUAUUUAUGAUACUUUAAUUGUAAUUAUUAUGGAUUUUCUUUGCAUAUGUAAAUAACAUUUGCAAACGAUCAUAGUUUUUCUAUUCCUUAUACCCUUGGUUUAAUUUCUGUUAUUGUUGUAAUUACUAGGAUUUCCAUUAGAAUACUGUGAAGAAGUGGUGAUUCUGGGCAUACUUGGCUUAUUCCUAGUCUCAGAGAGAAAGCAUUCAACAUUUCACCAUUUAUUAUGAUGCUGGCUUUUUAUAUGGCCCUGAUGAAAUUAAAGAAAUUAUCUUCCUUUCCUAGUUCUUAGUCUUUUUUCAUGAAUAGGUGUUGAAUUUAAUUAAAUAUUUUUUAACCUAUUGAGAUGUCAGCGAUUUUUAUCUUUCAUGGUGUUAAUUCAGUGAAUUACCCUGCCUGGCUUUUCCAAUGUUAAACUAGAAAUUGCAUUUCUAGAAAUUAUCCAACUUGGUUUUGAUCAAUUGCACUUUUUAUGUAUUGCUGUAUUGAGUUUGCUAAUAUUCCUUUUAGAAUAUUUGCAUCUAUGUUUGUAAGUAAUAUUGGACUGUAAUUUUGUUGGUAUCAAGUUGAUGGUGUCAAAAUUAUAGAACUUUAUAAAACAAAUAGGAAAAUUUCUCCUUUUUCCCUAUUCUCUGGAAUAGUCUGUGUAAUUGUCCUAUUUCUCGUAUGUUUGGUAAAAUUUACCAGUGAAGCCCAACUUUUCUUUGUGGGAACAAAAUUGAAUAUAAAAUUUAAAAAAUAUUCAUAGAGAUUAUUCAUAUACUCUAUUUCUUCUUGUAUCAAUUUUAGUAAGUUUUUUUAAGAAAUUUGUCCAUAACAUGUAAAAAUUCAAGUUUAUUGGCAUAAAAUUGUUCAUGUUAUCCUCUUAUUAACUUUGUAGCAUCUGUGUGGAAACUUUGUCGUCUGUGAUGAUAUCCCCCUUUUUAUUUAUUUAUUUAUUUAUUUAUUUAUUUAUUUAUUUAUUUAUUGAGACAGGGUCUCACUCUGUUGCCCAGGCUGGAGUGUAGUGGUGCAACCAGAGCUCACAGCAACCUCAACCUCUCAGGCUCAAGCAAUCCUCCCACCUCAGCCUCCUGAGUAGUUGGGACUACAAGUGUGCGCCACCAUGCCUGGAUAUUUAUUUUAUUUUAUUUUUUGUAGAAAUGAGAUCUCAUUAUGUUGUCUCAAACUCCUGAGUUCAAGUGAUCCUGCUGUUUUGGCCUCCCAAAGUGUUGGGAUUACUGGUGUGAACCACUGUGCCCCGACACUUUUUAUUUUUGAUAAUGGGUAAUUUGCUCUUGCUGUCUUGCUGACUUGCUCCUGCUCUUGCUUUUGAUCUCUUUUCUUUUUCUUGAUCAGUCUUGCCAGUUUAUCAAUCUUAUUGUACUUUUUAAUGAACAAACUUUUGGCCUACUGGUUCUCUUUAUUGUCAUCUGUAUUAUAUUUCAUUAAUUUUUUUCUGUUUUAAUUUUUUACCUCCUUCUCCUGUCUUUUUUAUUUAAUUUGCCUUUCCUCUUCUAAAAUCUUGGGUGGUAUACUUAAACCAUUGAUUUCAACUGUCUUUUAUUACAUGCAUUUCAGUCUUACAUGCAUUUCUUUUAUUACAUGCAUAUUCUAAGUAUAGUUUAGCUAUAUCCCAGAAGUUUUGAUAUUAUCAAUGUUUACAUUCAAUUAGUUUCAACUAUUUUAAAAUAUUAAUUGUGAGGGGUUUUUGAAAUUUGCAAAUAGUUUUAAAACUUCCAAGCAUAUGGGUAUUUUACAGUUACCUUUGUAAAAAUUAAUUUUAGCUUAUUUCCACUAUGGUCCAAAUUUAUUGGAGAUUUUCUUUCUGAUCUCGGUCCUGCAAUUCAGCACUGCCUUAGUACUUCUCAAAUGACUGUAUGAAGCUGGGAAUCAUACAGCUGAAGAAGGCCAUUACAUGUGCUGGGAACAUGCACCUUUGAAGGCUUAGCUAGUGGUUCUCAACCUAUCAGAUGCAACACUACCAUUUUAAAUACAUAUAUUUGCAAUAUUACUUUUUCUAUCCUGAAAAAAACUUACAGGUAAUCUAAAUUUUUAGAAAAACAAUACAGUAUCCUGUUACAUGGAGGAUAAAUAAAUAAAAAGUAAUUUGUAACAAAAUAAUGUUUUUCAACCUGGAAAUGUUCAGGCAUGACUACACUAGAGACAAUGAUAAAGUUGGCAGAUGUUUUCUUCUACAUACAUUGAGUUAAUAUGGAUGUAAGAGAAGUAAGACAAUACUCAAAGAAUAUUUAUUGUUGACGCUUUUUUCCUUAUAUUUAACAUUUUGAGAUA